rnacentral:rRNA from 1 species
GGCUCUUGGCGGUGGAUCACUCGGCUCGUGAGUCGAUGAAGGACGCAGCUAGCUGCGUGAUUUAGUGUGAAUUGCAGGACACAUUGAGCAUCGACGAUCUGAACGCGAAUUGCGGCCUC